GAUAAAGAAAGGAGCCAUAUGCCUCUUAGUCAUAAAAAGAGAACAUUCGAAGGACCAUUCAAGCAAAUCUCUUCUCUUUCCCGGGAAUCUUCCUUAAGAAUGUAUCUCAAGCCAAGCAGUCUUCCAAAGGCAACAAUUCUCCAUAAUCCCCUCCCGCAUUCUUAUAGCAAAAGGCGCAUUUUGACAAAACCCUCAAACCAAAAGCUGUCUCCAGUGGCUAUGCAAGAGGUAAGACAGGCUGCAAAUACUGCAUGGUUCCCAGCAUGACCUGGAUGCCUCUCCU
ensembl:lncRNA